AGCAGUAGCCGCGGGAAUACGGAGGGUGCAAGCGUUAAUCGGAAUUACUGGGCGUAAAGCGCACGCAGGCGGUCUGACAAGUCAGAUGUGAAAUCCCCGGGCUUAACCUGGGAACUGCAUUUGAAACUGUCAGGCUGGAGUCUUGUAGAGGGGGGUAGAAUUCCAGGUGUAGCGGUGAAAUGCGUAGAGAUCUGGAGGAAUACCGGUGGCGAAGGCGGCCCCCUGGACAAAGACUGACGCUCAGGUGCGAAAGCGUGGGGAGCAAACAGGAUUAGAUACCCCCGUAGUCCUGUCUCUUAUACA
rnacentral:rRNA from 1 species